AUUGAACGCUGGCGGCAUGCCUUACACAUGCAAGUCGAACGGUAGCGGGCCUUCGGGUGCCGACGAGUGGCGAACGGGUGAGUAAUGUAUCGGAACGUACCUUUCAGUGGGGGAUAACGUAGCGAAAGUUACGCUAAUACCGCAUAUUCUGUGAGCAGGAAAGCAGGGGAUCGCAAGACCUUGCGCUGAUUGAGCGGCCGAUAUCAGAUUAGCUAGUUGGUGAGGUAAAGGCUCACCAAGGCGACGAUCUGUAGUGGGUCUGAGAGGAUGAUCCGCCACGCUGGAACUGAGACACGGUCCAGACUCCUACGGGAGGCAGCAGUGGGGAAUUUUGGACAAUGGGGGCAACCCUGAUCCAGCCAUGCCGCGUGAGUGAAGAAGGCCUUCGGGUUGUAAAGCUCUUUCGGCCGGGAAGAAAUCGUAUGGGUUAAUACCCUGUGCGGAUGACGGUACCGGCAUAAGAAGCACCGGCUAACUACGUGCCAGCAGCCGCGGUAAUACGUAGGGUGCGAGCGUUAAUCGGAAUUACUGGGCGUAAAGCGUGCGCAGGCGGUUUUGUAAGACAGGCGUGAAAUCCCCGGGCUCAACCUGGGAACUGCGCUUGUGACUGCAAGGCUAGAGUACGGCAGAGGGGGGUGGAAUUCCACGUGUAGCAGUGAAAUGCGUAGAGAUGUGGAGGAACACCAAUGGCGAAGGCAGCCCCCUGGGUCGAUACUGACGCUCAUGCACGAAAGCGUGGGUAGCAAACAGGA
rnacentral:rRNA from 1 species